rnacentral:rRNA from 1 species
CCUGGUGAUUAUAGCGAAGAGGACCCACCCGUUCCCAUUCCGAACACGGAAGUUAAGCUCUUCAGCGCCGAUGAUACUGCGAAAGUGGGAAAGUAGGACGUUGCCGGGA